UUUACGGAGAGUUUGAUCCUGGCUCAGGACGAACGCUGGCGGCGUGCUUAACACAUGCAAGUCGAACGGUGA
rnacentral:rRNA from 1 species